GGAAAUCGCACAUGAAGGCAGCAUCAGUGCAGUUAUAGAGAAGGAUUUACUAAAGCAGUUCUCCUCGAGACAGUUUAUCAGGACAUAAAGUUAUACUAGGAGAUCUACUUGGAGAAUUUUUUGCGAUCAAUAAAAUGAUUGUAUAAGUGUAUUUGUGAAGUACAUUGCAAGUUUUUGUCAGUAUCUAAUGUCAGACAGUUCUGACAGUGUUUGUAUUUGUCUGUUCAUUUUUGUUUGUAUUGUUUUGUCUGAUUUGUCCCGGACAGAUUUAAAGUGUCUGUUUGCAGGAAAGGGGAGAGCGCCCGUGAGCUGCUGAACGAUAAGCAGCACAUCGCGGAUCAGAAAUCACGUUACCUUUCGUACGAGACGGUGGUGGACGAGAUCCCGGUGGAACCUGGGGACGGGGGGGGACAGUUUGGACUAUGAGGACGAGUACGACGACACUUACGACAUCAACCAGGUGGGAGCCAACGACCGGGACCAGGACAGUCUGCUCAGGUGGAGGCCCUUCACCGUCCCUCAGAUCCUCCGUCAGGGACAGAGAGCAGAGGAAGAGGAGGAGAGUGAGGAGGAGGCGGGAGAGGAGCGAGCUGCUCAGAAUAACGUCCACCGGGACCAGUUUGUGCAGGAUCCGCCGUGCUGCGAGAGAGAGCAGAGGCGAGGCGGGCCGCUAUGCAGCACAAGAGAGGGUAAAGAGACUAACACUAACACGUGAGGAGAGGGUAAAAGAACCCAACAGAGGGAGGGUAAGAGCUCGCAC
rnacentral:lncRNA from 1 species